rnacentral:ncRNA from 1 species
GCAAAGUUUUAUUAUGGCUUGGAAAUUGGCUUAUUGAUUUAGAUAUAUGCAAAUUUUAGUGUUUUUUCUUUAAAUAGGAAUAUUAUUGCAGUAUAUUGAUUUAAUUAUUAAGUGGUUUUAGACUUAGGAAUUUAAUUUAGCAUGAACAAAAUUUGUGCCAGCAGUAGCGGUUAUACAAAUUAUGCAAGUCAAUUUUAUUUAGUAUAAUUAAGAGUUAGAUUAUAUUAGUUUAAAUUUGGGUUUUUUAGGUGAAAUUUUAAAUUUAAUUUAAACUUUAAUUUUUUUUCUGAAGUUAGGAAAUUUCUAUUUUAAACUAGGAUUAGAUACCCUAUUAUUGGAAAUGUUAAUUUUUGCUAAGAUUACUAUGAGUUAUGGUCUUUAAAGUUAAAAAAUUUGGCGGUAUUUUAGUCUAUUCAGAGGAACCUGUUUUUUAAUCGACAAUCCACGAUAAUUAUUACUUUAUCUUUAAAUUUACAUAUCGUCGUUUAUAAAAAUUUUAGGAGGAUUAUAAUUUUUAAGGUUUUUUAUAAGAAAGUAUUUCAGAUCAAGGUGUAGUUUAUGGUAGAGUUAAAAUGGGUUACAAUAUAUUUAUAUGUGGUUUUUAUUUUUAAAUAUUUAAAAUAAAAUGGAUUUGAUAGUAAAUUCUUUAUUUAUGGGGGUUGACUUAGCUCUAAAAUAUGCACAUAUCGCCCGUCGCUUUCACUUUAAAGUGGAAUAAGUCGUAACAAAGUAGGCUUAUUGGAAAAUGAGCCUGGAAUGAC